rnacentral:rRNA from 1 species
CAGCAGCCGCGGUAAUACGUAGGGCGCCGAGUGUUGUCCGGAAUUAUUGGGCGUAAAGAGCUCGUAGGCGGUUUGUUGCGUCGCUUGUGAAAACUUCACGCUUAACGUGGAGCCUGCAGUCGAUACGGGCAGACUUUGAGUUCGGCAGGGGAGACUGGAAUUCCUGGUGUAGCGGUGGAAUGCGCAGAUAUCAGGAGGAACACCCGGUGGCGAAGCCGGGUCUCUGGGCCCGAUACUGACGCUGAGGAAGCGAAAGCGUGGGGGAGCGAACAGGAUUAGAUACCCUGGUAGUCCACGCCGUAAACGGUGGGUGCUAGGUGUGGGGGACUUCCACGUCCUCCGUGCCGCAGCCAACGCAUUAAGCACCCCCGCCUGGGGAGUACGGCCGCAAGUAUAAACUCAAAGG